UUGCAUAAGGCAAGUAUUACCUUAUGCAAGGGUGUAGCAAGUAGCA
rnacentral:sRNA from 12 species